rnacentral:tRNA from 1 species
GCGGGUGUCGUAUAAUGGCUCAUUACCUCAGCCUUCCAAGCUGAUGACACGGGUUCGAUUCCCGUCACCCGCUCCA